GUGGCCUUUUAUGUCGAGGACCUUCGGACAGGUCUUCGCUUCCCGAUUUCGGAGUUCGUCCGAAAUGUCUUGGAUUAUUACGAGCUUUGCCUGACGCAACUGACGCCGAACUCAGUCUGGUUGAUAAUCAGCUUCACCUUGUUGUGUCGGCUUUUGCCGACCUUUCCCAGCAUCUCUCUCUUUCGGGCGUUCUUCAUCCUUCGACCCCACCCGAAAGCUCGAAGGUGGUGGUUCUUCAAUCUCUGGAAGGGUCUUUCGUUCAUUACCGAUCUUCCAUCGUCGAUCCAAAGAUGGAAGAACUAAUUUUUCUUUGCUUCUUCUUCGCUACCUUGGGGGUUCUCUUCCCGCUGGGGUGAUCCUCGGACUCAGCCGAACGAAAACAGUCGGGUGGAGGCUGGAGACCGGGAGGACUUUCACCGACUGAAGGAUGUGUCGGUGCUGAAGCAGAGGGUGCUCAUCAUCGAGCAAGCUCUGUACGACGUCGGCCUGAGUUCGAUUCCCUAUCUAGGUACUAUUCGAUCUGUUGGUCAUUUUUUAUCUUUUUCAUCCGUCUUCGGACUUGUACUAAUCCUUUGUUGAAAUUGCAGGCAUGCCAUCAAGAGUGAGACUAACAGAUGCCGACAUUCGGCAACAUGCGGCGAGGAAGAGACCGGCACCCGGGGCCGGACCUUCGCGGCCCCCCCAAGAGGCCUCAGACAUCAUCCUCAACUGACAUUGCGACGGCGGC
rnacentral:lncRNA from 1 species